rnacentral:rRNA from 1 species
CACGUAGGGUGCGAGCGUUGUCCGGAAUUAUUGGGCGUAAAGAGCUCGUAGGCGGUGUGUCGCGUCGGCCGUGAAAACCUGCAGCUUAACUGUGGGCUUGCGGUCGAUACGGGCAUCACUGGAGUUCGGCAGGGGAGACUGGAAUUCCUGGUGUAGCGGUGAAAUGCGCAGAUAUCAGGAGGAGCACCGGUGGCGAAGGCGGGUCUCUGGGCCGAUACUGACGCUGAGGAGCGAAAGCGUGGGGAGCGAACAGG